GGCCUUAAAAUUAAUUUUAAUAGCAGGAAGUUUUGUGGAUCUAAUCACCAACAGACUUUCCCUGUGCCAGGGCAUGAUCUGUUUUCAGGAAACUGAGUUGCUCGGGAGUCCAAGGCAAGUCCCGCCUCCAAACCGGAGGAGCUGGGAAUGAGGCGGAGAGAAGCGCAGUCCCCGCCCAAUCCCGCCCGGGCCUAACCUCUCGGCUGCGCGCGCAGCUUCCUGGAGACCCGGAAGCAGAUUACGCGUGGAGUGACGGUUAUGCUGCGGCGUGGACAUUUGACGUUCAGAGAUGUGGCCAUAGAAUUCUCUCCAGAGGAGUGGAGAUGCCUGGACCCUGCUCAGAGGACUUUGUACAGGGACGUGAUGCUGGAGAACUACAGGAACCUGGUCUCCCUGGAGACGGGGUUUCACCAUGUUGACCAGGAUGGUCU